rnacentral:piRNA from 1 species
CUGCGACUGUGGUUUUUUGCAGG